rnacentral:rRNA from 1 species
UACGGAGGGUGCAAGCGUUAUCCGGAUUCACUGGGUUUAAAGGGUGCGUAGGUGGGUUGGUAAGUCAGUGGUGAAAUCCCCGAGCUUAACUUGGGAACUGCCAUUGAUACUAUCAGUCUUGAAUAUUGUGGAGGUUAGCGGAAUAUGUCAUGUAGCGGUGAAAUGCUUAGAUAUGACAUAGAACACCCAUUGCGAAGGCAGCUUACUACGGAUAUAUUGACACUGAGGCUCGAAAGCGUGGGGAUCAAACAGG